rnacentral:rRNA from 1 species
UACGGGGGGGGCAAGCGUUGUUCGGAAUUACUGGGCGUAAAGCGCGCGUAGGCGGGCUGUCAAGUCUGGGGUGAAAUGCCGCGGCUCAACCGUGGAGCUGCCUUAGAUACUGACGGCCUCGAGGAAGGUAGGGGCAUGCGGAACUGUAGGUGGAGCGGUGAAAUGCGUUGAUAUCUACAGGAACUCCGGUGGCGAAAGCGGCGUGCUGGACCUUUUCUGACGCUGAGGCGCGAAAGCUAGGGGAGCAAACGGG